rnacentral:rRNA from 1 species
AGUGAACGCUGGCGGUAGGCCUAACACAUGCAAGUCGAACGGCAGCACAGUAAGAGCUUGCUCUUACGGGUGGCGAGUGGCGGACGGGUGAGGAAUACAUCGGAACCUACUUUUUCGUGGGGGAUAACGUAGGGAAACUUACGCUAAUACCGCAUACGACCUACGGGUGAAAGCAGGGGAUCUUCGGACCUUGCGCGAUUGAAUGAGCCGAUGUCGGAUUAGCUAGUUGGCGGGGUAAAGGCCCACCAAGGCGACGAUCCGUAGCUGGUCUGAGAGGAUGAUCAGCCACACUGGAACUGAGACACGGUCCAGACUCCUACGGGAGGCAGCAGUGGGGAAUAUUGGACAAUGGGCGCAAGCCUGAUCCAGCCAUACCGCGUGGGUGAAGAAGACCUUCGGGUUGUAAAGCCCUUUUGUUGGGAAAGAAAAGCAGCAGGUUAAUACCCCGCUGUUCUGACGGUACCCAAAGAAUAAGCACCGGCUAACUUCGUG